GUUCUGUUUUUUGUUUGUAACGUUUGUAGCGUGCCUGUGUGUUUGUUUGGCCUGGAGCUGUCCUGCCUGGCAGUUAGUGAUGGUAGCUAAUCUGGCAAUCCGUCGGUGUAGUAAUACAUUGUCUGGACUGUUUUGGCAAAGACAUCCAGUCGGCCGCUGGGCUCGUACUGAAGGGCAGCUGGCACAGAGUCAUCUCCAUAGUGUUUGGCAGAGGCGGAGGGGGAGGCUUGAGUUGCUUGCGAGCAACUGUUCGCAUAGUGCUUGAAUAGUGCUAGAGGAGGGGUAAGCUCGCAGAUGUGGAGUGCUCUUUUUUGUUGUUUGUUUUUUCUCCUGACUUAGAUAAACCUUGGGAGGAACCGGUCCAAGGAAAGAGCGCCUUCUGGAACUGUCAAGCCUUCAUUUGGCAGCUCGGUGACUGGCUUGGUCUACUUGUGAGGUGCUGAGGGAAGUUGUCUGCUGUUCCGAAACGCUGAAAGGCAGCCUGCAACCUAGGACGUCAUCACAGCCAGAGCAGUCUCUGGUAAGGUGUUGUAGCUGGCUUAAGAGGGCAGAUGGAAGCAUCUGCCUCAGGGGCAGGUGAGCGGGCAGAGGUGUCUCGCACAGACUCAAAGGAGCAAACUGCAUUCUGAAGAGCUGUGUGCCAUGGCUAGCAGUCCACAGAAGUGGCUGAUGAUUUGAGAUAAGACCGGAGAGCGGCAAGGAGCGGCACGUGCAGUUAUGCCUUCCAAGCACUGCGGUUGCUCUGUUCUGAUUAUCAGGUGCCACAGGCAAGAUGGGUUGUAACAUCAGUCUUUAGAAUUGGAGCAAAGCAGGUCACUUGAAUGCUGUGUUGUUCCUGAGAAAGGUGUAGAGAAAAAAGGUUGC